AGAGUUUGAUCCUGGCUCAGAAUGAACGCUGGCGGCGUGCCUAACACGUGCAAGUCGAACGGUAACAGGACUAGCUUGCUAGUUGCUGACGAGUGGCGCACGGGUGAGUAAUGCAUAGGUAACGUGCCCCUUAGUCUAGGAUAGCCACUGGAAACGGUGAUUAAUACUGGAUACUCCUUCUACCUUGAUGGUAGUUGGGAAAGUUUUUCGCUAAGGGAUCGGCCUAUGUUGUAUCAGGUAGUUGGUGAGGUAAUGGCUCACCAAGCCUAUGACACAUAGCGGGUCUGAGAGGAUGAUCCGCCACACUGGUACUGAGACACGGACCAGACUCCUACGGGAGGCAGCAGUGGGGAAUAUUGCACAAUGGACGAAAGUCUGAUGCAGCAACGCCGCGUGGAGGAUGACACAUUUCGGUGCGUAAACUCCUUUUAUAUGAGAAGAUAAUGACGGUAUCAUAUGAAUAAGCACCGGCUAACUCCGUGCCAGCAGCCGCGUAAUACGGAGGGUGCAAGCGUUAUUCGGAAUCACUGGGCGUAAAGGGUGCGUAGGCGGUUUGAUAAGUCUGAUGUGAAAUCCUAUGGCUCAACCAUAGAACUGCAUUGGAAACUGUCAAACUAGAAUACUGAAGGGGCAGAUGGAAUUAGUGGUGUAGGGGUAAAAUCCGUAGAUAUCACUAGGAAUACCGAAAGCGAAAGCGAUCUGCUGGGAAGUUAUUGACGCUGAGGCACGAAAGCGUGGGGAGCAAACGGGAUUAGAUACCCCGGUAGUCCACGCCCUAAACGAUGAAUGCUAGUCGUCGGAAAGCUCGUCUUUUCGGUGAUGCAGUUAACACAUUAAGCAUUCCGCCUGGGGAGUACGGUCGCAAGAUUAAAACUCAAAGGAAUAGACGGGGACCCGCACAAGUGGUGGAGCAUGUGGUUUAAUUCGAAAAUACGCGAAGAACCUUACCAAGCCUUGACAUUGAUAGAACGGACCAGAGAUGGACCGGUGCCUUUUCGGAGGAACUUGAAAACAGGUGCUGCACGGCUGUCGUCAGCUCGUGUCGUGAGAUGUUGGGUUAAGUCCCGCAACGAGCGCAACCCUCGUCGUUAGUUGCUAACAGUUCGGCUGAGCACUCCAGCGAGACUGCCUUCGCAAGGAGGAGGAAGGUGAGGACGACGUCAAGUCAUCAUGGCCCUUAUGGCUUGGGCUACACACGUGCUACAAUGGGGCGUACAGAGAGUUGCGAUACCGCGAGGUGGAGCUAAUCUCAUAAAGCGUCUCUCAGUUCGGAUUGUUCUCUGCAACUCGAGAACAUGAAGCUGGAAUCACCAGUAAUCGUAGAUCAGCAAUGCUACGGUGAAUACGUUCCCGGGUCUUGUACUCACCGCCCGUCACACCAUGGGAGUUGAUUUCACCCGAAAUCGGGAUGCCAAACUGGCUACCGCUUACGGUGGAAUUAGCGACUGGGGUGAAGUCGUAACAAGGUAACCGUAGGAG
rnacentral:rRNA from 1 species